AUUCCGCAUGGAGAAGUCUGACGGAGCACGCCGCGUGAGUGAUGAAGGCUUUCGGGUCGUAAAACUCUGUUGUUAGGGAAGAACAAGUGCUAGUUGAAUAAGCUGGCACCUUGACGGUACCUAACCAGAAAGCCACGGCUAACUACGUGCCAGCAGCCGCGGUAAUACGUAGGUGGCAAGCGUUAUCCGGAAUUAUUGGGCGUAAAGCGCGCGCAGG
rnacentral:rRNA from 1 species